rnacentral:rRNA from 1 species
AGCCUUUAGCUAAACAAGUAUUAAAGGUCCUGCCUGCCCAGUGAUUUUUUAAACGGCCGCGGUAUUCUAACCGUGCAAAGGUAGCGUAAUCACUUGUCUUUUAAAUAAAGACCUGUAUGAACGGCUAAAUGAGGAUAAACCUGUCUCUUAUAACCAAUCAGUGAAACUGAUCUUCCAGUACAAAAGCUGGAAUAAUAACAUAAGACGAGAAGACCCUGUGGAGCUUAAAACAAACCACUAAACAGACACCACCUGAUUUAGCGCACGUUUUCAGUUGGGGCGACUUCGGAAUAAAAAAUAACUUCCGAGCACAGAGCUACAACCUCUAACCGAGGCUAACAAGCCAAAGCACCAAAAUAUAGACCCGGCCUAGCCGAUCAACGAACCAAGUUACCCCAGGGAUAACAGCGCAAUCUUCUUCGAGAGCCCCUAUCAACAAGAAGGUUUACGACCUCGAUGUUGGAUCAGGACACCCAAAUGGUGCAGCCGCUAUUAAAGGUUCGUUUGUUCAACGAUUAACAGUCCUACGUGAUCUGAGUUCAGACCGG